UAUCAGUAUUUAUUUAGCAGAAGAAAAAUCUUUACAGUAUGAAAAGCUUUCAGAUUGUUCUUGUUAUGUUAUCCUUCGCUCUCACUCUGAACCCAGGUUCAAUGGCGAACGCUAUGGAAGAUGGUCGUGUGCUUUUAGGGCCAGGACCGGUAUGCAUAGGGAUGUGUAGCACUAGUACCCCACCUAAUGAUUGCGACGUUAAGUGCAUUUCAGCAGGCUUUCCUGGUGGGGCUUGUUACGUAAAUGGUCGAGGUAGUUGGUCCUGUUGUUGCAAUCAUAAAUGAUUCAAUUUUGGAUUGAAUUGAAUUGAUUGAUUAUAAUAAACAAUUUUUGAGUUCUUCGACACUUUCAAA